rfam:Flavobacterium sp. EM1308 contig00102, whole genome shotgun sequence.
CUUUAGCCCCGAUUGUAGUGGAAAUCCUUGUUUGCCGGGGUUCGGCAAACAAGAUUGCAACGUAAAGCGGGACCCAUC